GGGCCCGCACAAGCGGUGGAGUAUGUGGUUUAAUUCGAUGCAACGCGAAGAACCUUACCAGGGUUUGACAUCCUGCGAAUCUCUUGGAAACGAGAGAGUGCCUUCGGGAACGCAGUGACAGGUGGUGCAUGGCUGUCGUCAGCUCGUGUCGUGAGAUGUUCGGUUAAGUCCGGCAACGAGCGCAACCCACAUCCCUAGUUGCCAGCAGUUCGGCUGGGCACUCUAUGGAAAACUGCCCGUGAUAAGCGGGAGGAAGGUGUGGAUGACGUCAAGUCCUCAUGGCCCCUUACGGGUUGGGCUACACACGUGCUACAAUGGCAGUGACAAUGGU
rnacentral:rRNA from 1 species